rnacentral:rRNA from 1 species
UACGGAGGGUGCAAGCGUUAUCCGGAUUCGCUGGGUUUAAGGGGUGCGUAGGAGGGCAGGGAAGUCAGUGGUGAAAUCUCCGGGCUUAACUCGGAAACUGCCGUUGAUACUCUCUGUCUUGAAUCCCGUGGAGGUGAGCGGAAUAUGUCAUGUAGCGGUGAAAUGCUUAGAUAUGACAUAGAACACCGAUUGCGAAGGCAGCUCGCUACACGAAGAUUGACUCUGAGGCACGAAAGCGUGGGGACCAAACAGG